AUUUUUAGCUUGACAUAACCACACUUUUGUGUAAUCUUUGUUAUUGUGGUGCAAUUGCUGGAUUUUUGGAAUAAAAUCGUAGAAAUUCCAUUUGAAAAUAGAAAGAACAACUUUGAUUCGAUUUAAUUGAAUUUUUGGAAAAACAACCAUGGCUGGCGAGAGAAAAAUUGUGACAAGUAUUUGGCCAGUAGUCCGUGCAUAUUUACCGGUGUCAAUGCUACCACUUUUCGUUUGCACAUGCAUCUAUUUGGAUUGGUCAAAGACACAAAAAUACAAGGCACGAAAGGAGAUUGAAUCAUUGGGUCUGCAGCGUGAAUUCGAUAAGAAAAUCAAUUUAUAAUACAGACGCUGCAAUAGUUGUAAAUCAGCACAUUUUUAGAAUAAACAGUUAGUUGUACCUGUUCGAAAUAUUUUGAACGAUUUUGUCGAUUUUCCAUUUAUUGCGUUUAUGCAAAGUUUAUCAUAUAUUUAUAUGAUAACCGAAUAAAUAUCUGCGAAGUCUGAGAAAAACAAAA